rnacentral:lncRNA from 1 species
GGGGAAGCACUGAGUCAAAGGGGUGAGGAUGAGAGAAGAGACAACUCAGCAAAACAGAAAAGCAGAGAAAAAGAGCCAGGAGAGAAGCUUAAGGCGGUAACAAUGAACCUGGGGAACAAGACAGCGUAAUAAGUGAUGUGUUUUUGUCCCCCACCUCUCCAGUCAUCCGUCAAAUCACGUAUGCUUUCAAAAGCUUUGGUUCAGUUUUUGAGGAACACAAUAAUGGAGCUGUGUCACAUCCAGGUCGAUAGGCGGUAGCACCUCGGCAGCAUGUGCGGAACAAGGACCCCGGAAGCAGAAGAAGUCAUGAGAAUCCAGAAUGGCGCAACAUCUUUAUGGACAAUGAAAUGGACAGCAUUGAUUUUAAAAGAGGCCUAGGCCUCUUUGUGAUGAUGAAAGUCAGAAAAACGAUCCUGUUGAUAUACGGAGAAAGAAGAUCAAAGCCAUUCUUUCAGAUAAAGGGUAACGGCAAUCUUGGACUCCAUUCCUAUGUCCGCGCUCCCUCCAGAUUGGUUAUGAUCACACUUCCUCGGGUUUGUGAACGAUAUUUACAUGGGAGGAGAAAAAAGAGACAAGCUGUCACUGGUCAAAAGACACAUGCAUGAAUGUUUUGGAUCAUUCCCGGAGAAUUUCAGAAUGGUUCUGAAUUUGUACUGCACCAGUGAGCAGGCUAUCUUUCCUGCUCCUUAGCCAGAGAUGCUUCAGCUUCAGUGAACUAUUCAGGUCUUGUUUCUGUUAUGAAGACUUUUUCUUUUGAGAAGACAUGGACAUAACCCCGAAAAGAAGAUAUAUAUAUAUAUAUAUAUAUAUAUAUAUAUAUAUAUCUCAAUUCUAACGUUUAUUGUCUUCAAAAUAUUAAAUACACAAUGGAGUAAUUAA